UACGGAGGGUGCAAGCGUUAAUCGGAAUUACUGGGCGUAAAGCGUGCGCAGGCGGCGCGUUAAGACAGGUGUGAAAGCCCCGAGCUUAACUUGGGAAUUGCGCUUGUGACUGGCGUGCUGGAGUGUGGCAGAGGGAGGUGGAAUUCCACGUGUAGCAGUGAAAUGCGUAGAUAUGCGGAGGAACACCGAUGGCGAAGGCAAUCCCCUGGGCCUGCACUGACGCUCAUGCACGAAAGCGUGGGGAGCAAACAGG
rnacentral:rRNA from 1 species